rnacentral:tRNA from 1 species
GAGUGUAGUUCAAUUGGUUAGAGCACUAGAUUGUGGAUCUAGAAGUUGCGGGUUCAAGUCCCGUCAUUC